GACGAACGCUGGCGGCGUGCUUAACGCAUGCAAGUCGAACGGAAAUGCCCUGCUUUUGUGGGGUGCUCGAGUGGCGAACGGGUGAGUAACCCGUGAGUAACCUGCCCUUGACUUUGGGAUAACUUCAGGAAACUGGGGCUAAUACCGGGUAGGAGCUCUUGCUGCAUGGUGGGGCGGGGACAGUUUCGGCGGUUGGGGAUGGACUCGCGGCUCAUCAGCUUGUUGGUGGGGUAGUGGCUUACCAAGGCUUUGACGGGUAGCCGGCCUGAGAGGGUGACCGGCCACAUUGGGACUGAGAUACGGCCCAGACUCCUACGGGAGGCAGCAGUGGGGAAUAUUGCACAAUGGGCGGAAGCCUGAUGCAGCAACGCCGCGUGCGGGAUGACGGCCUUCGGGUUGUAAACCGCUUUCGCCUGUGACGAAGCGUGAGUGACGGUAAUGGGUAAAGAAGCACCGGCUAACUACGUG
rnacentral:rRNA from 1 species